GGAAUAUUGCUCAAUGGGCGCAAGCCUGAUGCAGCGACGCCGCGUGGGUGACGAAGGUCUUCGGAUCGUAAAGCCCUUUUCUGCGUGACGAGACAGGACGGUAGCGCAGGAAUAAGUCUCGGCUAACUCCGUGCCAGCAGCCGCGGUAAAACGUAGGCGAAGAACGUUAUCCGGAGUUACUGGGCGUAACGGGCGUGUAGGCGGUAUGCUAAGUCUGGCGUGAAAGCUCUCGGCUAAACCGGGAGAGGUCGUUGGAUACUGGCAAACUAGAGGAUGGUAGAGGCGUGUGGAAUUCCGGGUGUAGUGGUGAAAUGCGUAGAGAUCCGGAGGAACACCAGUGGCGAAGGCGACACGCUGGGCCAUACCUGACGCUAAAGCGCGACAGCAUGGGGAGCAAAC
rnacentral:rRNA from 1 species